UACGUAGGCAGCAAGCGUUGUUCGGAGUUACUGGGCGUAAAGGGUGUGUAGGCGGUUCCUUAAGUUUGCUGUGAAAUCUCCCGGCUUAACCGGGAGGGUGCGGUGAAUACUGAGGGACUAGAGUACGGGAGAGGAAAGUGGAAUUCCUGGUGUAGCGGUGAAAUGCGUAGAUAUCAGGAGGAACACCGGUGGCGAAGGCGCCACUCUGGGCCGAUACUGACGCUGAGGAGCGAAAGCGUGGGGAGCGAACAGG
rnacentral:rRNA from 1 species